rnacentral:rRNA from 1 species
GAAUUCAACUCCUACGGGAGGCAGCAGUGGGGAAUUUUGGACAAUGGGGGCAACCCUGAUCCAGCGACGCAGCGUGCGGGAUGACGGCCUUCGGGUUGUAAACCGCUUUCAGCAGGGAAGAAGCGCAAGUGACGGUACCUGCAGAAGAAGUACCGGCUAACUACGUGCCAGCAGCCGCGGUAAUACGUAGGGUACGAGCGUUGUCCGGAAUUAUUGGGCGUAAAGAGCUCGUAGGUGGUUGGUCACGUCUGCUGUGGAAACGCAACGCUUAACGUUGCGCGUGCAGUGGGUACGGGCUGACUAGAGUGCAGUAGGGGAGUCUGGAAUUCCUGGUGUAGCGGUGAAAUGCGCAGAUAUCAGGAGGAACACCGAUGGCGAAGGCAGGUCUCUGGGCUGUUACUGACGCUGAGGAGCGAAAGCAUGGGGAGCGAACAGGAUUAGAAACCCCAGUAGUCCAGGCGUU